AUUCAAUGAUUUCAAAAACAGACUUUUUAUAGAAUAGGAAGAGAGCAAAGAAAAAUGUCACAAAAAAUUGAGCUGUGCUUUUAUGUGAAACCGCCACUCCUUUCACACAAAACCACCCGCUCAUCCUCCUUGUCAAUCUCCAUUGUCAUCCCUGAUAAUUCCUAGGAGCUGCCACCAAUUGAUUCCUUCUUGAGUGGAGGACCCUGUAAAAUUCAUUAUUUUCUCAAUCACUGACAAUGCUUCAGUACUUAUGCGACAGGCAGAAUUGACAGGAUCUUCUCUCCAGUCUGUGUGUUUGUACUUGGCAGAUAAGAACAACAAGGCAGAUUUGCAUAUAUCCAUACAGAAUCAAUCCCCAAGUAACAUUGGUCCUCACUAUGUGCUCAAUACUAUGCUGGCUUUGUACGAGAUAUAGUUGGAUUUUAUUCCUGUCCUCAAGGAACCCACAAACUAGUAGGAUGAAUAUACGCAGAAUGAAGGACUUACCCUUUGGAUUAGGACUUUUCAAUUUACAAAGUGUUUUCACAGAGACACUUUCGUUUGAUCCUUACAACAGAUCCUGGAAGCAGCACAUAGUGGCUAUAGCAAGGUAAAUCCCGAAUUUGGAGCUACAAAAUGAGCUUGUGAUAAACUAGACGGGAAUCUCCCUGACUUAUAAUCAUUCCUUGGGUGGCUAAAUAGGUGGGUAUAGUCUCAGGUGGGCAACAGCGGAUUGUGAUUAUGUCCAAGAGAGCAUAAAUCCAAACUGUUAUAAAAGAUAUGAUCUGAAAAAUAUGUUUAUAGAAUGUGUUUUUUUAACUGACCCCUGCUUGAUAGACUAGCCAGAUUGGCUGAUGUGCUGUUUUCUCUGUAAGACAUCCUGACGAAUGCCCACAUCUCGCUAAAAACUUCUGGCUAGUAGUCCAGUCUCUUGUAUGCUUAUCAAUUACAUUAUAGGCUUUCCUAGUUUCUCCCAAACCUGUUUAUGCCAGUUGUACUAGUUAUAAU